GACCGCGUAGCGCAGUGGAUAGCGCAUUGGACUUCUAAUCCAAAGGUCGUGGGUUCAAAUCCCACCUCGGUCG